rnacentral:rRNA from 1 species
GACGAACGCUGGCGGCGUGCUUAACACAUGCAAGUCGAACGAUGAAGCCCUGCUUGCAGGGUGGAUUAGUGGCGAACGGGUGAGUAACACGUGGGUGAUCUGCCCCGCACUUCGGAUAAGCCUGGGAAACUGGGUCUAAUACCGGAUAGGACCCCCCUUUAGUGUGGGGGGUGGAAAGAUUUAUCGGUGUGGGAUGAGCUCGCGGCCUAUCAGCUUGUUGGUGGGGUAAUGGCCUACCAAGGCGUCGACGGGUAGCCGGCCUGAGAGGGUGGACGGCCACAUUGGGACUGAGAUACGGCCCAAACUCCUACGGGAGGCAGCAGUGGGGAAUCUUGCACAAUGGGCGAAAGCCUGAUGCAGCGACGCCGCGUGAGGGAUGACGGCCUUCGGGUUGUAAACCUCUUUCGCUCACGACGAAGCCCCUUCGGGGGUGACGGUAGUGGGAUAAGAAGCACCGGCUAACUACGUGCCAGCCGCCGCCGUAAGAC